CUUUACUGUAGCUUGGAAUUGGAUUUGAGCUUUUCUUGUGCAGAAUAGGUGGGAGGCUAUGAUAGCAGGUUUGCGAAUCUGAAGGAGCCGCCCGUGAGAUACCACUCUGGGAAAGCUAAAAUUCUAACUUUAAGCCGUUAGCCGGAUAAAGGACAGUUUCAGGUGGGCAGUUUGACUGGGGCGGUCGCCUCCCAAAAAGUAACGGAGGCGUGCAAAGGUUCCCUCAGGCUGGUCGGAAAUCAGUCGUAGAGUGUAAAGGCAUAAGGGAGCUUGACUGCAAGACCUACAAGUCGAGCAGGGACGAAAGUCGGCCUUAGUGAUCCGACAGUGCCGAGUGGAAGGGCUGUCGCUCAACGGAUAAAAGUUA
rnacentral:rRNA from 1 species